rnacentral:lncRNA from 1 species
AGUCCCUAUUCCCGCCCUGAAGGUGGCCAAAAGGCUGACUCCCUCCAAGCAGCCCGCCCGCGCCUCCAUCGCCCCCACCCACGUCCCACUCGCCAGCUGCGGACUGAACCCUCACCCUCAAGGGGGUGUAGGUAGGGAAAGAGUUUUGAGCAAGAUUGGGGGUAUCCCUUCAUCCGAAGAUUGUUUGGGAAAGGUUAGGAGCUCUAAAAUGUAUUGAAGCCAACUCUUAAGCGCAAAGUAAAAGAUAAUUUGCGUCCGUCUGCGAGGUAGGACUGAAGAUUCUAUAGAGUGGGCUUCCGAGGAGCAGGAGACACAGGGCGAGCAUGAGAACAUAGGUCUGGAAUGAGGUUCCACCGAGCGUCCGUAGUCUCCUUAGGCGACAUCUAUCGCUUCCUUUAGCACUUCGCAGGAGUCAACGCGGGGUUGGUUGCCCCCAACAGUGGAGCGUUUCCAUAAAGCCGAGCAGAUGAGCCUUCCCAGCCGCCUGCACUGCACCCUUCCCCGCCCCCAACUCCGUACUGGCACCCUGUGUGCCUGAAGGGCUGACACACGUUCUCCCAAAACCUUCAGAAGCGCUUUGCCUUGAAAGAGCUCUCCCUCGUGUGUGUGUGUGUGUGUGUGUGUGUGUGUGUGUGUGUGUGUGUGUGUGUGUGUUUAAACCAUCUCCAGGAUCCCUUAUCAUUUGCUUCCUCUCUCCUUUUUCUCUCUGUUUCUCCCUGUCUUUUUUCUGACGCUUAAGUUUCAGGAUCUUUUAGUUUUUUUCCAUCACAUACAUGUGUAGGUUUUCUGGUACAAACGCCCUGAAACAUCACUUGGGAGGUUAAGACAGGCCCGCGAGUAAAAGCUGGGGACGGAGUGGGUGGGCAGCCAGGUGCAUUACCAGCGCCUUUAUGCCUCUGCCUACACUUCCCGGCCUCCCCCCAUCCCCCCACCCCCCCACCCCACGCCUCACCGUCGCUCCCCGGCCCCACAACAUGAACUUGGAAGCAGAAUUUCAGGCCAAGAUGGAACCUCCCCGUCUCAGGAAGGCGAUUUCUGUUUAAUCCUUGGGAGGCUGCGCUGGCUGGGCCAGGCAGCACGCUCCUUUUCCGAUUAGGGAAAGGACUAAGCUGGGCCGGCAGUCUGCGACCCCUUCCCGGAACCCCAGCCGACUUCGGGGUAUACCUGAGCGCCUUCCGAUGGCUGCUCGCGGGGGUGUGAUCAUCGUCCCCGCAUCAGGCCCGCCAGGCAUCUGCGCGACUCGGGGGUAGGAGGGAGAUGCGUGGGUGGGAGGUGGGGGUCAAACCAAACACCGACAGGGCACACCUACGUUUAUGAUCCUUAAAUGAACUGCGAGGGAAAUUGUGUAAGUAUAAUUUAACUGAGAGAAAUUUAUUGCGAAAUACGCUUAGAGGACUGUGGUCUUUAACAGCCUCAGGGGUUCUUCGGCAAAGAGGUAACGGGGCUUGGAUUUACCACAACUCUGCGGCCACGUUUUCAAAUUUGGAAAAGCACAGAUGAGAAAAGAAGGUUCAGGCGAUUUAUGCGAGAAAGGGCCAAUUUGAACACUGGUAACUAGUGGGAGAAAUAAACUUAUAAGCCACAAACACAUCGGUUCGCAACCGAGCCCACAGCCCCGCGAGGCGCCCCUUCUUCCCAGCUCCCGGAGGAUAACUUCAUUGACUGGCAGGUCGGCGGCCACUUCUGGGAGGGCCACUGUUUACCGAAUGAGAACCUCUCAUGGCACAGUCCUUACAGCAGGGCUGCCCUGUCGCCCUUGCGCGUCCGGGUGCCGGGUCCCGGCGGUGUUCUGCAGCGCGAUCCGGUCCCCGUGCCCUGAGCCACCCAGAGCCCUGGGCCUGCCUGCACCCUGGGGCGCGCUGACUCCCUGGGUCGGGUGGGGGUCCCGGCAGGAUGCACUUCCAGCUGCGGGGUCCGCGGAGUUUGCUCGCACCUGGUUUGGCGCAGGGACGUAGGUUUGGGGGACUGUGUCCCCUGGGAAGAGCAAAAGGUGAAAAGGUCCCCUCUCCCACCAGUGUGCCCCAUCCCCGCCAGUUUUGACUGCGAUCCUAUUUUUCUCUUUGGGGGUCGCCUCAGCCUGUGCCGGAGGGAGUUGGGAGUUGGUCAGGCUUGGGCAGCGGUGGGUGGCAGCCCGGGAGCCGGAGCAGGAGCGCGAGGACCCGCGGACUGGGGCGCAGCGACGAUGGCGCACCGGCUUCUGUCUUCUGCUGCUUUGGGGCUGAGCAUCCGAGGGCGCCUUUCUCCCCAGCUGGACUCGGGGACGCCGGAUCACCCCGCCACCUGCCUCUUGGCCUAAUUCUGGAAGCUUCUCGCCUCCGUUCCUGGACGGCUCUUCCUCAGGGGCAGCAAUGAGCCCCGGGGUGCGCUCAUCUCCUCCGAGAUCAAUUGCUCUACGAUUCCUUUUAGGACUUGCAGGGGGGAGAGGUUGGGGACCCCGGCCCCAGAGUGGCUCCUGCGGCACGGCGGCCCACUCGGAGGGGUCGCAACAAGCGCGCAUUUGUGGCCAAGGUUGUGAUUUCAGGUGCGCUAAUGGGAUCAGACGUCCUGGGAGAAGCGUGAGGGGAUUGGUGCCGUUCCUUCUCCCGGCUUCCAGCGGCCGCCGGGUGGAAGUGGGGACACAGGAGGGCCGCGCUACGGGCGCCCAGCGCGGGCGCUCACACCUCUUGAGGAGGCGUGGAACCCAGCGCCCCAGGUGGGGGUAGGGCGCGGGGGUAUAGGUAGUGAGGGGUGACGCUGGGAGAGGACCGGGAGACGGAGGAAAGGAGACAGCCGGGGACACUACUGAGAGAGGGAGUAAGAGAGUGCGCUGCAGAACCGGGGACAGAGCGGCAGAACCGACCGAGAGCUGGAAUUGGAUUGCGUCCUGUCCCAGCACCAGGACACAGAUAAACAGCCUCCCAGCACUGGUACUCGCCAGAGAAGGGGAAACCCGCGUCCCGCGCUGCUGCUUUCUGCUUCGGAGAACCUUAUCUAGACUUUUGCAUAAUUGCGUGUUGGCUUUCCUAAAUAAUUCGGAAGAGCGAUUUCUGCUUCCACUUGUUCACAUAGGCAAACAAUCCCUGUGGGGAAAAUGUGUGUGUGUGUGUGUGUGUGUGCGCGCGCGCGCGCGCGCGUUCCGGUGACAAUUGAGGCCAGAGGCAAACACAUCCUCUUUCAAAAUGUCCCUUAGGUGAUCCCGUAAAUGACUGUCCUGCUCUAGGCAGUGGGAGUCAUCAUCCACUGGGUAGGGGGCUGUGAUUACUCUGCCUAGGGACCACUUUUCACAGCUCCUUCCCCACCGUAGAUAAGGGUGUUAAAUCAAGGCAUUUAGUUCUACUUUUCCAUUGCACAGAUAAGCAAGCUGAGACCCAGAUAGGUUAAGUGAAGUAUCCAAUUUCUUCUCUCCUUUUCUUUUCUGUAUGCCUCAAGAUGGUUUUAUACACACACACACACACACACAUACAUACACACACACACACACCCUGAACUACGAAAAACAUCACAACUACGGAAGAAACAUUUUUUACUCUUCUUAUUUCCUAAGAAGACCAAAAGUCAGAGCUUGUCUUCUGUCAGAAGCAGAUGGGUGUGUGAUGGCAGUGUGUGAGUGUGCAAGUGUGGGGGGGCUGGGCGUUGGCGCCAUCCUUCCUCCUUCCCUGCUCCAUCCCUGACUCCAUCACCGAGCCCCUUCAGGGAAACACAAGGCAGGAGGUUGUACCGCUAUGCAGAAGACCCCUCCAGGUAGGGAGCUUGAAGAAAUGAAACAGCAGGGAGAACCUGUAUUUGGUGGUGAAAGUGCUGGAAUCUUCUAGGCCUUGCUCAUCUCCAACCAGCUACUUCUCCAAAAUAAAGCAAAACAAAACAAAACAAAACAAGGCAAACAACAACCACCACAGGCCUUUUGCAUCAACUUCCUGUGACUAAGUGACCCUAAGCAGAGAACUGGCUCAGGUCACUUAGGGCAGGGGUAGGACAUUGAAGGCCUUAUUUACUCCAGGAUUAAAAACAGCAUCCCCUCUAACCCUGUCUCUCUUGGGCAGCCUGUCUUUUAAGGAUGUGAAAAGCAGCUUCUUGGAGUCUAAACAGGCACAAUACCCCACUGGGAUGUUUAGGUAUCAGGUUCACAAAAACAGCAUUUUACUCCUGCUUCCCCGAACCCCUUUGCAACCCAGGCUACCAUACUCUUUGCAAGAAUAUCCGGUAUCUUUUCCGGGCAAAAUGAAUUGAGUUGGCACUUCCUGAAAUAUUUUUAUUUUUAGCUUCAAAUAAUUUUGCUCCUAAAACAAAUUAGUUACUUAUCCUCUUCUCACCAUGCCCUAAUUAUUUUUAGCUUUAUUCUAAUUUUUUUUGUUACCUUGAAUUUUGUCUUGAUUUGAGAGUUUGGUAUAGAAUACUUGUUUGCAGACUGGUAAUCUGCAGUUUAUUUUGUUUUUAAAAAACUCUGUGAAGUUUACUGUUGUUUUAAAACUCAUGGAAUAUUAACAAAAAAUAACCUAAUAAUAUUCUUCGAGGCUUAAACUUUGGUUAUAGUCUAUGUCCUAGCCUAGCUUUUAUGAUAAGCCUGUUGCAUUUUAAAGGUGCUUAUUGAUUCACAUGUCUUUCAGUAAAAAAUCUUUUGAGGAACCCAGACUUUUGAAAGCUAUUUAAUUUGCAUGUAUUUGGUCAUUACAGGCUAAAACUGAAGAAUGAGUUUGGAAAUUGGUUCUAUUAGAAAACACUGUUUGCACAUCCAAAUGUUCCCAGUCAAGAUUUCCCAAUAGUGGCAGUGAGAAAGAGAGGCAGAGAGAAUUAGGAUACUUGGGUUCAAAUUUUAGCUUAGUCACUGAUGGGCUGAUUGAGUGAGAAGAACUUAAUCACCUGCAAAAUGAAUUGCUUACAGUAUUUUGAUCUCUAAAUACACUUUUGAUUCUGAUAUUUAAUGAUUUUGUAUUACAAAAUUGGGCAGAAAACGCAUAGCUUCAUAACAAGCAAAAAAUUUUACUGUUAACACAUCAUACUUAUUUUAGAGUAAAUUUGAAGGAGGUUGAUGUUUUGGAAUUUGGUUGGAGAGUUAUCCAAAAGCAAUGUUUCCCUGACUCAACUACAACCAAUUACACACAGUGGCCAGUAGGAAAAGGAUUAAGUUGUCCAGACAAAAUAUAAUGGUAACAAAAAAUAAUCUUGUGCUUUUGACAUCUUUCUGUUUACUUGUUUUUGUCUUGUUCUAAUGCCCCCUGAAUUACUAUUUUCUAAAAAACAGUCUCAUCUAAAAUAAAACAUAGUAAUGUGUUUUCAAAUGAGACAUUUUAUUGUAGUUACGAUUUCUUUUGUAUAUUUUCCUAAUGCAGACUACAAUAAAUACACUAAAAUAUUUCAAAUGGUUUGCUUGUGUAUAUGCUCUUAAGUCGUCUUUAUCCCACUUUGGGAAGCAUAUGCUGUGUUCUGAACAGUUUUAACUUUAUAUAUCAGCAUGACUAAGUCCUUUCAACAACUAUCACGCAAAGACCACGGAGAGCAGAACUAUUCAGGAUAUCAAGAAAUGAACACUAAUGAAUAGGAAACAAUGAACCCUAAUUUUAGGAAGAAAUUAGUUUUGCAAUUCAGCAUUGUCAUUUAAAGUGGAAUUGUGUCUCGUAAAACUUCUGUAACUGCCAUACUUGUU